GUUAAAAGCAGUGGCCACACAGGGACAAGCUCUGGACAUGCAGAUGAUCAGGACAGGAAGCGGCAGCUGGAACGUCUGCGUGGCUCCUCCGUGCUACUCGUAUGUGAACGUCCCCAGCAGGGUGUCCUCCUCCACGUCGUCCUUCAGGCCCUGCAGGAGGAGAAGGUAUUUAGGAAUCCUUUGUGGACCGCCGACACGCACAUAGACCUCAAAGUCUUUGUUGGCGGAGUCUAUGCGGCCGGUGGGGGAGUCGUAGCGCGGGAGGUGGUCCAUUUGUUCCUUCAUUGUAGAUUAAUACAAAGCACAUGAGACUGUGUGUUAAACAAACCAGAAUCACUUUGAUGUUUUGCUUCGAUGCAGCUUCGCAUUCUUUCGGCUUCAUGAGGUAAUCGACCGGAACGCUUCGUAAUUAACGGAGGCUCGAGAGUUCUUUUGUUGGUUCUAUUCAGUGAAAAGCGACCUGCCGUCGGCGUUGGUCCUCGUCCAUCACGUCACUUGCUCCUACGCGUCUUUCGCUCCGUGGAUGGAGACAAAGGCAUCGUGUCCACUGACGGAGGAGCAGAGCUGAGGACGAACAGACACAACAACAACAUCUGGAGUUUCAUCAUUAAUGAAUCUCAUGACUGAAUAUUCUCUGUAAAAACGUUGUUAAACUGGACUUUACAGAACAAAUAAAGGACCAACAAAUUGCCUUUCAAAUUGUAUUUAAUGAAUGACUCAAUCAUCCUUGCAAGUUGCGUUAUGUUUGGAGGAGACGGAGCUCGUAAAUGACACAAAGACAAAUUAAAGAUAUUAAACCUCUCAGACAGCAAACCUUAUACUAAUGAUUAUUACACACAUUUGUACUCUUUUCUCACCUCAAUAGCAGAUUUCUAUUUUAUUUUAUGAUCAUAAUCUCGUCCUACCUCGAUGG
ensembl:lncRNA